rnacentral:snoRNA from 1 species
GCUGCUGAUGGAAAAAAACAACUGUUGUGCGCGAGGGCGCGCGAGCCCUGUGAGCGCACUUGCGUGAUAGCCAUCUCAAAAACUCAACAGGUCUGACGG